GAUUCCUUAGCUCAGCGGUAGAGCGUCUGAUUCCAGUGGGGCCCAUAACCUGUUGAAGUUCUCCCAUCCAGAAGGUCAUCCGUUCAAUCCGGGUAGGGGUCA